rnacentral:rRNA from 1 species
AAAAUGAACCGGGGCUAAACACGACACCGAAGCUCAGGAAUCCGAAAGGAUUGGUAGAGGAGCAUUGCUGAAGCGACGAAGCAGUACCGAAAGGAGCUGUGGAGUUUCAGGAAGAGAGAAUGCCGGAAUGAGUAGCGAGAGAAAGGUGAGAAUCCUUUCGGCCGAAUAUCCAAGGUUUCCAGGGUAAAGCUGAUCUGCCCUGGGUAAGUCGGGGCCUAAGGCGAGGCAGAAAUGCGUAGUCGAUGGGAAACGGAUUAAUAUUUCCGUACUUGGUAUAUCAGUGAAGGGGGGACGGAGAAGGUUAUGCAAGCCUGGCGUUGGUUGUCCAGGUGAAAGUGCGUAGAGUUGUUUCUUAGGCAAAUCCGGGAAACUACAUGCUCGAGACACGAGACGAGACUCUAAGGAGUUGAAGUUGCAAAUACCAUGCUUCCAGGAAAAGCCUCUAAACUUAUGAUAUAUCAAACCGUACCCCAAACCGACACAGGUGGUCAGGUAGAGAAUACUAAGGCGCUUGAGAGAACUUGGGUGAAGGAACUCGGCAAAAUCGUACCGUAACUUCGGGAGAAGGUACGCCUCUGUUUGUGAUUGAACUUGCUUCAUGAGCGAAUGGGGGCCGCAGUGAAAUGGUGGCUGGAACUGUUUAUUAAAAACACAGCACUGUGCUAAAUCGAAAGAUGACGUAUACGGUGUGACGCCUGCCCGGUGCCGGAAGGUUAAUUGAUGGGGUUAUCUUCGGAGAAGCUCUUGAUCGAAGCCCCGGUAAACGGCGGCCGUAACAAUAACGGUCCUAAGGUAGCGAAAUUCCUUGUCGGGUAAGUUCCGACCUGCACGAAUGGCGUAAUCAUGGCCACGCUGUCUCCACCCAAGACUCAGUGAAAUUGAAAUUGCAGUGAAGAUGCUGUGUCCCCGCACCUAGACGGAAAGACCCCGUGAACCUUUACUAUAGCUUGGCACUGAACAUUGACCCUACAUGUGUAGGAUAGGUGGGAGACUUUGAAGCAUUGUCGCUAGAUGAUGUGGAGUCUACCUUGAAAUACCACCCUUGUAGGUUUGAUGUUCUAACAUAGGUCCCUUAUCGGGAUUGUGGACAGUGUCUGGUGGGUAGUUUGACUGGGGCGGUCUCCUCCCAAAGCGUAACGGAGGAGCACGAAGGUUGGCUAAUCCUGGUCGGACAUCAGGAGGUUAGUGCAAUGGCAUAAGCCAGCUUAACUGCGAGACAGACACGUCGAGCAGGUACGAAAGUAGGUCAUAGUGAUCCGGUGGUUCUGAAUGGAAGGGCCAUCGCUCAACGGAUAAAAGGUACUCCGGGGAUAACAGGCUGAUACCGCCCAAGAGUUCAUAUCGACGGCGGUGUUUGGCACCUCGAUGUCGGCUCAUCACAUCCUGGGGCUGAAGUCGGUCCCAAGGGUAUGGCUGUUCGCCAUUUAAAGUGGUACGCGAGCUGGGUUUAGAACGUCGUGAGACAGUUCGGUCCCUAUCUGGUGUGGGCGUUGGAUGAUUGAAGGGAGCUGCUCCUAGUACGAGAGGACCGGAGUGGACGAACCGCUGGUGUUCGGGUUGUUUUGCCAAAGGCAUUGCCCGGUAGCUACGUUCGGAAUCGAUAAGCGCUGAAAGCAUCUAAGCGCGAAGCGAGCCCUAAGAUGAGUCAUCCCUGUACGUUUAACGUACCUAAAGGGUUGUUGAAGACUACGACGUUGAUAGGCAGGGUGUGGAAGCGUAGCAAUGCGUUGAGCUAACCUGUACUAAUUGCCCGUGAGGCUUAACC